ensembl:snoRNA Gm23301 small nucleolar RNA SNORD58
CUGCAGUGAUGACUAUCUUAGGACACCUUUGGAUUUACCAUGAAAAGAAGUAACAUCUGAGCAGC